rnacentral:lncRNA from 1 species
UUAGUAUGGUUGUUUUUAUUCUGGGGUUAUUUUGUUAGGCUUUAAUUCAUUCCUAAGAGUGCAAUGGUGUAAGCUUGUGCCUAUGAGUUUUGAUUCUUAUAGUAGGAGUAAGGCUAGGGAACUGCGCAAAAGGUCUCGUUACAUGUUUACAGAGUGGUUGGGAUGGGCUGAGAAAUUCCAAGAUCAAGUCUUGUGUAAUUUUACUUUUCUCUGACUUUGGUUGAAGAGCUAAAAGGACUGUUUUGAUUCUUAUAGUAGGAGUAAGGCUAGGGAACUGCGCAAAAGGUCUCGUUACAUGUUUACAGAGUGGUUGGGAUGGGCUGAGAAAUUCCAAGAUCAAGUCUUGUAUAAUUUUACUUUUCUCUGACUUUGGUUGAAGAGCUAAAAGGACUGUUUAUCUUAACUUAAAUUUGUU